ensembl:lncRNA
ACAAUAUUGUUAUAAAUAUAUAAAUAUAAAACAAAAAUAUCAAACCACAUAAAAAUAUGUUACAACUGGUCAUAGAAAGACUAAUCAACCUGGCAAGAUCAUUUAGCAUAUGUGUAACUAUCAGAGCAGAAAUUCAGUAAACAUUUCAGGCAUAUCUAGCAGUUAGAUAAAUUUCUGUCUCAAUUUUAAAACUGCUUGUAAACCCGUGUCCUUUCUGUACUAUCAGACAUUGCUUAGCUCACAAAUAAGACUCCAUAAUCCUUAUUUUCUCUUGGACACUCUGCUUGUUCUCUACUUUGGCUCCAUAAACUUUGGACACAGCUGUUGAUAGAUAGUUAACAGACUCUUUCUUCAGGCUGUAUCCACUCACAGAAAUACUACGACAAAGACAUUCCUACAGGUCAAAAUCAUGCAUCAGUUACAGCACACAUAUCUGAUUCUGCAGUGGCAGUAUUUUCAUUCCCAGGAGCUGAUGAAGGUCCCUUUUGAACUGAUGAAGAGCUUCAAAGAUAAUGACAAGGAGAUCUGGACAGUAGUCACAAAAAUGUUAGUGUUGAGUAACAGUAUAAUACCCUCUUAGGUAUAAGGUACCCUCUUGAUGUGGAAAAGCACAAACUUGGUAAAUUUGUUAUGUUCCUAUGUACUAAUUAGAGAAUAGUGUUUCAAGAAAUCUGCUAUUAUACUAAAAAAAUAACUGAAAUACUGUAUAAUUGAUUUUCAAUUGCAUACAUCUUUUACUAAUGAGGUUAUCAAUCUAGUUUCAAGAAAAUUACCAGAAGGCAGCAAACACACUAGCUGCUUAUUGAAAACUAUUCCCACUAAAAAGUGAAAAUCAUGCAAUCUUUUCUGAAGAGGAAAUGUGUAUUAUACAUUAUUAGAAAGCAUAUAACUCUUGAACUCAGAGAUUUCAGGUCACUGUAGAAUUCUAAGAUGGUACCAUUCAGGACUGUUUAGUGAAAUGGUAGUAUGCAAGUGACAGCAAAGUGUCCUUCACACAGGAUACUCUGUCCAGAAAUCACCUAAGAAGUAGCAUUAAGAAAUUACUGAAUUACAUCUGUGCUUUGCCUUCCUUUAGGCACAAUGACUACCUCACUUUAGUAUCCCCAGAAUGGAAAAAGCGCCUCAGCAAUUUCAAGCAGCAAUGGCCAUCAUGUUCCAGGCAUACUGAACUCCUAAGAACCAGAGAGCCAGUGAGGACAAUUUGUAUAAAUAUGCACAAACAAUGCCAAGAUACUCAUGCUUAUCUGAAUGCAUCAGUUAUUCUAUCAUCAAGCCAUAACAAACAUCCUCAAGUCAUACUUCGGGAUAAACAGAGCCUGCCCUAUGCCAAAAUUUUUAAAUUAUUCUGAGGUCAGUUUGGUACACAGGGAAUAAAGAAAACGAAAGAAGAAUUUUCCCUCUCAAAGCAGCACACCUUUAGCUCAAAAAAAAAACAAACUAUGCAGAUAUUUGACAUAAAAAUGCUUUAUCCCACAAUAUUUCAGAUUCUCUUUUAAUGUUAUCUACCUUUUAUGUCCAUGAUCAGUUUGGUUCAGGCUGGCAAAACUGUUUGCUGACUAUGGAAGCCUAUCACUGGGCAAAGUCUAUGUCUAAGAUAUAAAAAGAGAAAAAAAAUCAAAAAUUUUUGUGAUCCAUUUAUAAAAAAUACUACAUUUAAUUGUAUCAGAUUUUUAAACUUGAAUUUUAAAUUAUUAGGCUUACUGUUUUUCAAUGUUGUAUACCAAUUAUCUACAACAUUAGUAGAAAGCCAUGGAAGAUAAUUCUCUUUUGCUUUUAGAAACGAUGAAGCAUUUUUAACAACUGGAAACAUUCUUUUUAAAAAAAAACAACAGAACCAAAACAACAAACAAAAAAUUUGGGAGAUUUACUGUAUUCACAACAACCAUUUAGAUCCUGAAAUGUUAUCAUUUUCUCAUGGACAUAAGUAGCUUAUCGGGAAAUCCCUAACCAGUUGUACAGCUAACAUCUGCUUCUCUCCAGAUAAAUACCCAGGAGGUUAUCUGAAACUAUGCUGUCACUAUUUCAGAUAUCAGCUCCAUUUUACUUACCAGUUCAGCCCUAACACAAAACCAAUUCCAGAUUCAGUGACAUUUGCAUUUCCAACUCUAGUAUGCUUUUACUUUCCAUCACAGUCUACACAGUACUUCCCAAACUUCAUUCCAUUGUAUUUACCAGUUAGAUUUUCUGUCUUUUCCUUGGUUAAUUAGUUUUCAAUACUUUGCUUUUGUUUAAGGAGAGAAAUUACAGGAGCAUGCAGUCCACUUUAAACAUCAUUUCAGCAUUUGAAAAUAGCAAAAGGAAAAAAUGUUUUCAUUUUUGUAAACCUGUCUUUGAUAAUGCACAUUUUGCUGCUUAGUAAGAAUGCAAAUAACACAGUUUGUAUUCAACUGUAGAAUACAGUUAGAUAUGUUCACUAAUUCUUAACAUAAACAGAUCUGGCUGCAUAUUCAAUGUUAAAAUCUAAGUCUAUAUAAAGAAUAUGUAACUUACCUCUAGACAUGAGAGUUACUCCUUGUAAAAUUUGAGGUUUCUGCUCUAGCAUAGAGGUGUAUGAGUAGAUUGGGAAUGCGUAAGAUGAAGGAAAGUGAAAAAUUUUAGGGCUAGGAUGCAAAAAUGGGUAUUGGCCUGAUUUAGCAACAAAGUGUCUGCCUACUUUAACAUUUGAUCUGUUGUUGCAUGCUGAAGAGAUAAAUUUUCAAGGAUGAAAAAUUGUUAUUUUCAGUAGUGGCAUGAAAAGUAAACUCUCCACAGGCUUCUGCUCUGCAUUGAACUGCAUAUGGAGUCCAGCAGAAGUGCACACGUGAAAGUGACCUAAGACACAAAGGAUUUAUGCCAAAUCAGUUUCUUCCUAGACAAAUGAUGAUUUCCUUCUGAGACAAGAUACAUUUCUCACCAGGGAGAAAGAAAAUUUACUAUCUUUACAUCCUUGAAUUCAUGUUGUCUGUCUUUUCUGGAUUCCAUUAGGAACAUAACAAACAGCUAAAGGCAAUUAUCUUCCACUCUGACCUUGGGAAACCAAAGAAGUUACCACAGUACAGAGCCCAAAAAGCUUGUGAGUAAACACUCAGUCUAAACUUUAAAACAUCAGAAAAGGUUACCUGUCACUUUCAUGGCCUAUUUAGUCUAAUGACUACUUGUUUUCACAGUGAAAAUUUGAACUUUAUUUUCAGUCACGCUUUCUAUCCAGUUUCCAGUGACUACUUCUUUUUACUUUGUUUGCUUUUUUCUAUUCUUUUCUCCUUGCCAA